rnacentral:rRNA from 1 species
UACACUCCUACGGGAGGCAGCAGUGGGGAAUUUUGGACAAUGGGCGAAAGCCUGAUCCAGCAAUGCCGCGUGAGUGAAGAAGGCCUUCGGGUUGUAAAGCUCUUUUGUCAGGGAAGAAACGGUGAAAGCUAAUAUCUUUUGCUAAUGACGGUACCUGAAGAAUAAGCACCGGCUAACUACGUGCCAGCAGCCGCGGUAAUACGUAGGGUGCAAGCGUUAAUCGGAAUUACUGGGCGUAAAGCGUGCGCAGGCGGUUUUGUAAGUCUGAUGUGAAAUCCCCGGGCUCAACCUGGGAAUUGCAUUGGAGACUGCAAGGCUAGAAUCUGGCAGAGGGGGGUAGAAUUCCACGUGUAGCAGUGAAAUGCGUAGAUAUGUGGAGGAACACCGAUGGCGAAGGCAGCCACCUGGGUCAAGAUUGACGCUCAUGCACGAAAGCGUGGGGAGCAAACAGGAUUAGAUACCCGUGUAGUCC